UCCCCAUCUCCCUUUCUCCCUUCUGUCCCCAUCGCACCACCAGGCGCACCCACCCACAACCCACCAUGGAUCCCGCAUCCCUUCGUCGCUCCUCUCGUUGACCACCAUCGUCGCCUCCCCCAAGGCCACCGGCGCUGAUAUUCAAACCAUGGUCCUUUUUAGUGGAGAGGCGUUGAGGAGAUGGCAGUCUCCGUCGCCCUGUCGCGGAUCGUCACGGCCGCCAACGCCCAGCACCGCCUCCCUCGCCGCUGAUCAACGCCGCCACCAUGCCACGCACUGCCACCACCAUGCCACGCACUGCCGCCACCCCGCCGUCCUCUCCCUGUGUCAACUUCCGCCACCACCGCGCAGAAACCAAUCGCCAUCACGCCCCCUCCCCAUUUACGCCCAGCCUCCCUCGCCACACGCGGCCUCCUGUGUAGCCAGCAUCAUGCCCAGCGUCGCCUCCCUCGCCGGCGCGCCUGCAGCCUCCACCAUAUUAUGGAGUCACCGCCGCUGCCACCGCCUUUCCAGGUCGUGCUUCCUGAUUGCAACAGUAAAGGGGGAUUGAAGCGGCCGUGAGGUCAAGGAGAGGGGAGGUCCAGGCAUUGGAGAGGAGGAAGAAGGUGGUGAAGGUUGUUCUGUUGCUGCUGAUCCUCCCCAGGCCAGACACGGCCAUGUUCUGUUGAUACUGAUCCUGUAUCACAGUGCCCACAAUAUGUUUGAGUUCAGGAUUCAGAGGUAGAGGAAUAGCCUGCAAGUGUGCACCGUUUCUGAUGCUUGCACGGCGAGUGCUCUUCCUGGCCACCGCCUCGGGCACCACCAAUGGCAUCGGGAAGUAUUCAUCCGCCAAACCAGCUGUGCAGGCACCCUCCUCCGAAACACUCUCAGCGAGCCCCCUCACCCAAUCCAGGAUUCCCGGCCAUGUACUCCCUCUUCCUCUUCAACCCCCUCCCGUUGGGUCAGGCCUUCCUUCAAUUCGGUGGACAUUGAGUCGCCGCCUCGGCUCUAGACUCACUGGCGAGUGGACUGGCGAGGGAAGAUGACGGGAUGGAGAUUGAUCACUAUACGCAAAAGGUGGACCUACUUUGUUUUGUUAUUAGUAUUACCAACACUAAACUGCAUGCAUGGGAACUGGGAGUUUGAGACGGGCUUGCAGUAAGUUGUAAGCCGCGACCAUACAAUUUCAGUAUCUAUUCAUGUGUACGUCGGACCUAGACAAGGUUGGAGGGCAGGUAGAGGACCGGUGGUGCGUUAGGCAUGCAGCGUGUGUAACAACAGUCGACCACAGGUGGGCAGCACACUGUCACUAGGGAAGGAGAUGGUGGCAGUGUGUUUUGAUUAGCAGCAGGUGGCUCCAUGGUGGCCAGUGCAGCAGCGAGCUAGCGUGUUGCUGUGGGAAGAGGCAGAAAAAUUAAUCUGUUUGUGGUUGGACGAUGGAUUCCCGUUCCCUGGUAGGCAGCUAGCUCUUGAAAUAAUUUCAGCAAGAACAACAUCCUCAAUUUGGAGUGGUCUUAUUCGCUACUGCAUAUCUUGGACAUUUUCAAAUGUAGAUCAGAUUAACUAUAUAGUAGACACUGUGCUGUUGGUGUUUAACUGCUCGUGAGAUACGCGUCAAUAUUGCAAUCAACUCUGACUGCAAUUGUAUAGUCUCAAGGGCCUGCAUUCUAUAUUGAAGGUUCAACAUUGAAGCUGCUUGCAUUGAUCCGCAAUAGACCUUGACUUCAGCGGAAAAAUGAGGUUUCAUGGUGGCAGUGCCUUCUUCUACAUGAUGGGAAUUCAACGGCAUUUUUUUUGUUAAAUACUAGCUGGGUGUGUCGUCUAUUCACAGAUCGUGUAAUUUGACCAUCUCUUGCAGACAAAACACUCGGGGAAAGUUCCCAGCCGUGCACCUGUGACCGCUGGAGAGGCAUACUGUUUUAGGAAUGCAUGACAGACUGGUAGUGAGGAUAUUUGUAGAGGCUAUUUGCACCGUAGUUCAAGGCAGAUGAUAGAGUACAGGCGAGGCAACUCACUUAUAUUGGUACUCGUUUAAAUGGUUAUCUAUUCUGCCGGCAUAGUUACAUGCCAUAUUAAUUUCAGAAGAACAAUUUCUAAUUUAGUGUUGUGCUUGCAUGCAUUGUUAUGUCUAAAAAGAAAAUUCCAAACAAAAGCAAAUAUAAAGUCACAGUUUGUCUUUACACACUGGAUAAUGAAUGUUUCAAUCACGCUAAAUUGAACCAAGGCUUUUAGAAUAAAUUGUGACCUCUAAGCUUGUGUGUAGUCAAUUACUAAAUGUGUAAUAUUAGCACAUAUUAGCAUGACUAUUUCUUAAGUGCAGCCAGCCACCAAUUCCAUUUGAUUUGAAUUAAUAUAUUACUUAUAUACUCAUUUAGAUAUUUAUUUAUGUCCUCGAUGGAUUGAUUUGAACGCCACAAUUUUAUUACCCCGUUGCAACGCAGGGGCCCUUUUGCUAGUCUAUCCCUAAUUAUUAUAUAUAUAUAUAUAUAUAUAUUAUAUAUAUAUAUAUAUCCCUAAUAAUAAUAAAGCACGGAUUGACUCCGUGGGUUCACCGUCACAAUACGCUUUCUUUCUGUAAAUUUACGCUUUCAGUUUGAAUUUAAAACAUAUAUACGAGGUGGUACUAAUGUUGCCAUUGGUAUAGAUUUGACAAAUUAUGAUUUUUAUCCGUCACGGGCUUUGCCUCACAUGGGCCGAGAUUGUGAGCUGCGACUUCGCCCUUGCAUAUGGGCCGAGAUUGUAGAGGAGCGGAGCAAAAAUUAGUUGAUUUUCAUGGGAGUCGAACUCAAGACCUGCCAUUUAAUCUCAACGUGCACAACCAACUGGCUAAAGCCAGGCACGCGUUAGCUUAUGAAUUUCCUGGGAAAUAAGCAGAGCUGCCCCGAGAGUCUAAGAAAUAAAUGAUUUUCUGCAAUUAGAAAGACAAGAAAGAAAGGAAUAACGCCAAGAAAAAAAAGGCAAAUGAAGAAGUUGACUCCACGGGAAGGCAAUGAUUUAAUUAGUGCAGCUUGAUUGCUUUCCUACUUAAAAGCGGAGAUGCAGAUUAAAAAAAGCAAGAUGCAUGCUGGAUAAUUAUUGUCGCUGAUUGCUUUUCUAUUUAAAAAGCGGGCAUAUAUAUGCAUAUCAUGAAAUUAAUUAGUAGGAAAUCCAACAUUAAAUUAAAUUAUUUUAUAUUUUAACUUUCUGUUAUUAAUCUGAUUUUUAGAUAAAAUCAAGCUUUUUAAUUGUACAAUUUUGAACAAAAGUUUCUAAGUUUCAUAAUUUUCUUCCUUGGUUCCUAAUUUUAGCUAAUUUUUCCUUUUUUUCCCUUUUAGUAAAACUCUGGCAGACAUGACAAGAAUUACAUUAUGUUUAGACUAUCAAGAACAAUCAUUAGAGAGGAAAGUAACCUUUUUUGGUGGGGUGAGUAACCAUAUUUGUGACUUUUUUAAGAUAUAGAGUGCACUAGAUUUUUUUUCAAAUUUUUUUACCUUCUCUAUCAAUAUAGAUAUAGAAUUUGUCACAAUUUGGCAGAAGAAGGGGUGCUUUGUGUCGAUUUUAAGCAAUACCCGGGGUGUGUUGACAAUUGAGGAACAUUGUUGUGAACCAUAGAGUUUGACAUUUUGUUUGAAAUCUAGGAAGUGCUUUCGACUAAGAAAAUAUUUUUUAAGGUAUGCGCAUUGGAUCAAAGAUAAUCAGUUAUAUUUUUAAUUGCAUAUGAUGUGGAAGUAUAGGUUUAUUUUAUAACACAUUCAAGUGCAAGUGCAACCGAUAUAUAAGUUAUUUUGUGACAAUGUGCGUCCAUAGAUCUUUGUAAACAUUAAAUUGUUCAUGAGCCGUUAUAUUUUGUCCAUAAAAUUCUAAUUACAUUUGAAUACAUAUUGAUUUUGUCUUCCGGUGCAACGCACGGGUAUAUGUGCUAGUAAUAAUAAUAAAGCACGGAUUGACUCCGUGGGUUCACCGUCACAAUACGCUUUCUUUUCCUGACAUAAUACGCUUUUACGAUUUGUAUAGACAAAAUCGUAAUAUAAACGAGGUGGUACUAAUUUGAGCCCCCACUUUGUUUUUACAAAAAAAACCUCUAUUAAACCAAAACUACCAAACGAAUCCUCCGCCUCCUCCCCUGCUCUCGCCAUCGCCCGCAGAGCUCCACCCAAUCCCUCGCUCGCUCGGUGAGAUCCAAGGCGGCCGCGUCGGCUGGGAGCGGACCCACGCGGGAGGAGGAGUUCGGCGAGCAUGAGCUGGAGGUGGCAGCCAUUCUCGCGGACCUGUCGUCCAUCGUGCGGGCCAGCAGCAGGAGCAGGCGCGGCCGGAGAUCCCCUCGUGGAGCCGGCGCCGGCCGAGGAAGGCCCUAGCGGCUCCGCCGGCCAAGAAGCCCGCGGCCGAUAGCCCGGACACCCCGCUCGCCUUCCUCGACGACGACGAGGCGGCGGCAGCGCAGGACAAGUCGGCGCAGGAGCAGCGCGGCGAUUUUGACGAGUAGGAGAUGGAGCGCGUCACAAGCACCUUGGCUGCACCCUGAGGUUAUCCAUCAGGCAAACUGUCAUCUCACUGUCGUUCACGAUGCUGCUCCCAAGCCUCCCGACGAGAUUGUGCGAGUUGCAACUUACAUGACGCAGAUUCUUUUGCUAUACUUCGGAAGCCGGCAAUAGCAGCGGCAACGUCGACGCAUCCACGGGCUGGACAAAACUUGAUUAGCUUAUUACUGCAUCAAUAAUUUGUGCCUGUAGGACUCUUUCACAAAUCAUGUCAAUGAGACUAGCAAUUUGAAGAGGCUGCUGCACAUGAUAUGAAGAUAUUGGCAUAUACAGUCCCAAACAUAAGUUUCAAAAUAGCAGGUGUGGAGUUUAGCCCUGUUCCGCUGUAUGGAAAGCCAUGACCUCCACACAGAUGAUGCAAGAGGAAACAAGCUAGACUCACAACUUUGGUUUUCAGGCAUCUUCACCAACAAAUAUUACCCUGGUACUGACAGGUUGUUAGUAUUAUAUAAGUAUACUUGUUCAGCCUUUCCAUGUGCUGGUCUGAAUAUCUAAACAAGGAAGCAGGCUCAGUUGCUCACCAACCUACUAUUGCUGCCAACAAGUAGCCAGAAGCCCAUAGAAGACAUUUGCAUUGAUCACAGAAAAAUGAAGUAUUGAAUUUGUAGGACAUUGUCAUCCUAAUCUGGUUCCCACAUAUUCAAGAUGUGAAGAUUAGAUCUUUGCUCCAACAAAGCCAUGACCUUCAAUUUUGUUGUUAAUUUAACAGCUGUUUUGAUUGUGCCGAUCGAUCGGCUUAUAAGAGCCAAUUUGGUUUCUUGUGAACUAGAGCAUCCUAUUUUUCAUGAUUAUAUUAAGAGCUUCCUAUUUUUCAUGAUUAUAUUAAGAACUCACAGAUCUCCUUCACAGCCACACCUAACCUGCACAUCAUCUAGAUUCAAGAGAGCCCUACUACUGCAUCCAACCUAAAAUCAAUGUAAAAACAAGGGAAGUUCUAACCCGAUAUCUCCGUCUCCUGUGAACAAAUUUUAAGCCCGAUUGAUGGCAAGUGCAUUGCAUGUGUAAGUAAUCUGGGUUGAACGUACUUGAGGUCUUCCAUCACUUUUAUUACUUGAAUAGAAAUUGUGCACAUUGCACGAACUACCCAUUAAUGGGCAGCUGAUAUAUAUGAUGCUUGGUUCAUAAUAGCUACUUCAGGUUAUCCCUUCUGCUAUAUUUUUCAUACUCCCUACUUUUGUGAGAUCUGAAUUGGUAGAGAAAACAGACCGGGAUAUUCGGUUCCUACCUAGAGAUGCAGUGAGGACUUACUGUAUUGAUUAGUCAUUUGAAGAGUUAACUAGAAAGCAUUUAGUAUGUCUUCAGUUAUGUUGUCGUGGGGCUGUGCACACGAUUCACAGACAAAAAAACAGCACCGUGCAUUGUUUUUUUACAUGCAUGCAGCAUGUGCAACAAAUUUGCUACUAUGGACUAAAAACAAUCACCAACUAGCUAAAUCAACGGACACUCUAUGGGAAGGAGAACAAGCAUACUAAAUAACACGAAGCAGAGUAAUUCCAAGAUAUUUUGAGAAUUCAUUGCAGUGGACUGUGUUGUGUUUCGAUUUUUCUUAACCUUGAUAAUAUUGUCUUGGAUUUGAAAUGAUGGUAUACAUUUAUUCUUCUUCUUUUGUAUAGUUGUGAAGACCAAACUUAGAAAAUUGUACCGGUUGUGAUUUCAAUCGAGUUUGAGGCUUCUGUCAAAUAUAAUUAUGUUCCCUGCUGAUUAUAAUUUUGUUCAUGUAGAUGCAUGAAGUUUCUUGUUCGUUUUAUUUGGAAAUAAUCUCGAUUUAUUCUACUGUCUUGAUCGUAAAGCGACAUUUUUCUCCUGACACUGUUCACUGGUCACUGUGGUGAACCGAACAGCAAAUCAAGGACUUUAGAGCCCGGCCGCAGACCUCACGGAGCACCAACGAUAGCCUCAAGGUGAUUCAGCAGAGCAAGGUGAUGAGUACUCAGCUGGCUGGCCAAUAUCAAUGAUCUUAUCGGCCGGCAAAGCGGAGACGGACGGCCACGGUCCCGACCUUGCCAGCAGGCGGAGACAAUAAAUGGGAUCAAGGGAAGUUGGUCGGGCUCCAGCGGCACAUGCUUACCACUGCUGACUGUUGCCGGGAAAGGUAUGUUGGUUUGAUUCUUUCAAGAUCCCAAACUAAAACAAGUCACCUGUGACAUUUGAAUGAUGCAAAGGUUUGUUGUCUCUUCCCAAGAAAUUGUGUGCAGAGAAGCUACCUUGAUUUUACAUGCUGAACCUAUUUUUGCAUAAUCAAACACUGACGAUAAGAGAGAUGAAUGUGCAGUAUGCUAAAUUUGGGUAUCCAAUUGCAAAAGAAUUGGAUUAUUAUUUACAUUAGAAGCCAGGUUAUCACUAUGUAUUUUAAAUUGAUCGCUCAUGGACCGCUCAAUUGGCCAUAAACACAACAUAAUUCGAUCCCUCCCUUCAAAUUGGCAACUAAAGGGAAGGUGAGUUAAAAUGUCUCAGCCCCUGUGACCUGGCUGGUUAUGUUUAUAUUACAUCCAAUAUUAUGUGUACUCAUUUGAUCUAAGGUUAUUUUUAAUAACUUGUUUUUUUGUCACGAACAAAUCGAUGAACCGGCGGUCCAACCGGUGACAGACACAACGGUUCAGUUGCCCGUUCGGUUUUAAAAAAUAUAGUCCGAUGGUCAUGGUGGAAGAACAUGACAUGAAGUGCUUUGUAUCCCAAGAACGACGAGGAGACAUGAGCAGCCGGUGGCAGUGCUUCGCACUUCGAGCAGUAGGGAUACUUGAUCAUAGGGAAAGGGAAGGGAGAUGAGUUCGUGCUUGCAUGAUUUUUAGGGAAAGAGCGUGUGUAUUGUACUUCUGUGUGCAUGAAGUGUUUUGUUUGGGCCAAGCCCAAAUAAUGAAAAUAAAACACUAUCUCUAAAACUAUUCAAA